GGAGAGAUGGCCGAGUGGUUUAAGGCGGCGGUCUUGAAAACCGUUGACCGAAAGGUCCGGGGGUUCGAAUCCCUCUCUCUCCG
rnacentral:tRNA from 1 species